AUAAAACAAUAUAAAUCUAAUUUAAAGUUAGAAAAUGAAUAAAUCAUCUUUGUUUUUCGUUUUAUUGAUUGUUUUCAUUCUGCUUCCAAAUAAAAACUGGUGUAAAGAUUUAAGAGAACGUUCAGAAGAAAAUGAACAAGUUCGUACUUACAGAUGCAGAUAUGGACCGAGUGGAAGAUCUGAUAACGAAGAAA